GCUCAUUAUGUCAUUCACCACACCUGUCUUGUUGCUCACCGCUCCUACUACCACAGGUCCAAAGCAAGAAAGAAGGAACGGAGGACGAUAAUGGCUCUGGUCGGGCAAGUGGCGAUGGUGGCGCAGCUGGUGGGCGUGGAUGCGUUUAGCCUCUUCAUUCUUGGUAUCUUUGUGUUUGUACCCAUUGCUGUAUGUUUUCCUUGGUUGUGCCUGAUAUUUGUUUGUAGAUAUCAGCAGACGGGAGGGAACAUUAGCUUUAGCCUAUCAGCUAUUCAGAAUCUGUAGAUGGGAGGGAGCAUCAACUAUUCUAUAAUUGCUUGAUAUAUUUUUAUGUAGUGUUGCUUGAGUUUUAUGCGCCAUGGUGUGGCCAUUGUCAGAAUCUGGCCUUAGUCUUGGAUGAAGUUAUAGUUCUGUUGCAGAAAGAUGAAGGUGCAACCAUUGCUAAGAUGGUAACGUACAACAGGAUACUGAUAGUUAGAGUAGGGACUUGGGACAUAGUGAAGGUGAUGCUUAGAAACUAUGUAUCUUGUUUUUUAUUAUGAUUUCAAGAUAUUUGUUUUUAUCUAUUUUCUGUCAUAUGCUUCUAUGGUGCAUGGAAGCUGAUGAGUGUGUUCUAUAUGCUUUUUAGUCCCUUUUCCAAAAUGAUUCGCCUACAACAUUACUUGCUCGUGUGAUGGGCACCAUUGGCUCCAUAGAACAAGCUAUGCUUGCACAGGGACGCCACACCUACAAAUAUUUCAUAAAAAACCACAUGUUGUAUGAAAAAAAUCAGGAAAGGUUUGCAUUUGGAAGAAUGGGAUUUGAUUGGUGAUUUGUGGAUCGUAUGACUGGUGAUUAGAGAAGCUAGAGUGCAACGACAAGGAGAUAAUGGAGAAUAAGUAUUUCACCCCAAUCAAAGGUGAAGACUAGCAUUCUCAUGAAAAAAGCCAGUUAUUACUGAUAUUUUUUUUCUGUUCAGGAUCUAAUUGCUCAACGUUUAUGCCUUUCAUUUACUACCUUCAUUCUUUUUUUUCAAAAGUGUUUAGUGCAUCAACAUUGUUUUUAGUAAAUGUCUUUGACUAUUGCCUUUUAUUGCUAUAUGUCGGGCCGUUUUGUUGCGCUGUUGUGCACGUGGUUGUAGGGAGGGCGUAUUGUGGCGGCUACGAGGGACCGAUGUUCCUAUGUGGCGGUGACAACGACACCGUGGAGCCAAGGCAAUGUCAGCAAGCUGAUUUUUAAGAUUGGAAUCUAUGGUUAUUUUUAAAGAUCGAAUUGUUCUAGCAUCUUAAAAAGAUUUGUCAGAAUGUAAACAUUUGUUCUGAGGUCAUUUAGGCCUCAAACAGAAUUUCAUGGACUUAUUUCGUUGGAGGGAAUGAGACAUCUCGAGAUCUAAAUGUGUAUAGAAGAUCCAAAUGUGUAUAGAACAUAUAUUUUUAUGGGUAUCAAAUAUGAUUGUGUGCAAAGCACGGACA